rnacentral:pre_miRNA from 1 species
GCAUGAAGCUAGCUGCUCCAGGGAGCAGGAGGGGGCUGAGAAUCCAGCCCCCACCUGCUCCCUGGAGCAGCUAGCUCUGCGC